CGCGUAGGUGGCGCGGGUAGUCGUCGGUGAAAGUUCAGGGCUCAACCCUGAAUCGGCCGGCGAUACUCCCGUGCUCGAGUGUGGUAGAGGCCAAUGGAAUUCCGGGUGUAGCGGUGGAAUGCGUAGAGAUCCGGAAGAACACCGGUGGCGAAGGCGGUUGGCUGGGCCACAACUGACACUGAUGCGCGACAGCGUGGGGAGCAAACA
rnacentral:rRNA from 1 species